CAGUCGCCGCGGUAAUACGAAGGGUGCAAGCGUUAAUCGGAAUUACUGGGCGUAAAGCGUGCGUAGGCGGUUUGUUAAGUCUGUUGUGAAAUCCCCGGGCUCAACCUGGGAAUGGCAAUGGAUACUGGCAAGCUAGAGUGUGUCAGAGGAUGGUGGAAUUCCCGGUGUAGCGGUGAAAUGCGUAGAGAUCGGGAGGAACAUCAGUGGCGAAGGCGGCCACCUGGGACAACACUGACGCUGAGGCACGAAAGCGUGGGGAGCAAACAGGAUUAGAUACCCGCGUAGUCCCUGUCUCUUAUAC
rnacentral:rRNA from 1 species